UGCGUGGCUGUUCUGGUGUUCCUCUCUGGUGCGGUGGCUGUUCCAGUGUCCCAGUCUGGUGCUGGGGCCAUUCCAGUGUCCCUCUCUGGUGUGAGGCCUGUUCUGGUGUCCCUCUCUUGUGUUGAGGUCGUUCUGGCGUCCCUCUCUGGUGUUGGGGCCAUUCUGGUGUCACUCUCUGGUGCAGGGCCCACUCUGGUGUCCCUCUCUGGUGUGGGGGCCAUUCCGGUGUCCCAGUCUGGCAUUGGGGCUGUUCCGGUGUCCCUGCCUGGUGGCACAGCCAGAAGAGUAGUGCCCACACCAGCACUGUUCUGGUGUCCCAGUCUGGCGUUGGGGCCGUUCUGGUGUCCCAGUCUGGCGUUGGGGCUGUUCCAGUGUCCCUGCCUGGUGGCACAGCCAGAAGAGUAGUGCCCACACCAGCACCAGGCCGGGCCUGGAGGUGGAGGCAGAGCAGCACCUGGCUGGGACAAACGUCCUGGUUGUGGUUCCUGGAGAUCAGCACAACCCAGCACUGCAAGCGCAGGACUCGGGCCAAGAGGUGGCCAUGGAGCAAGAGCACCGAGGACCCCCAAAGUGCCGACCCUUUUCCAGAAGGCUCUGAAAGAACUGACUGUACAAGAGACCCAAUUUGCAUAGAGCUGGAUCAUUGCUGGAACUAGGAGUGAUGUCCCCUCUUCUGGAUCACUGCUGGAACCAGCAGUGACAUCACACCAGCUGGAUCAACACUGGAACCAGGACUGAUGUCCCAUCAGCCGGAACCAUGCUGGAGCCAGGAAGCAGAGAUUGGAGCUUGAGGGAAGAGCGCCUCGUCUGCAGAUUUCUUGGCUCCAUCUGCCUCUUCUCCAGCACUUCUCAGAAAUGUGACAGCACACAGGUUGGACUUGGGGCUGAAGACCUUGUCUGUGCCAGAAGAGCCAAGAGGUUUUAUGAUCUGAGUGAGGAGGAGGAAGUCGUUGAAGAG